rnacentral:rRNA from 1 species
UACAGAGGGUGCGAACGUUGUUCGGAUUUACUGGGCGUAAAGGGCGCGUAGGCGGUCAGCACAAGUCAGUUGUGAAAUCUCCGGGCUUAACCCGGAAAGGUCAACUGAUACUGUGCGACUAGAGUGCGGAAGGGGCAACUGGAAUUCUCGGUGUAGCGGUGAAAUGCGUAGAUAUCGAGAGGAACACCUGCGGCGAAGGCGGGUUGCUGGGCCGACACUGACGCUGAUGCGCGAAAGCCAGGGGAGCGAACGGG